AUUUCUUUUGAAUUCACAGUGAAGGUUUGCUUUAUACAUGAUGCAGUCUUUGAGCUUUAUUUGGAUUUGCAUUAUCUUCAUCUCCUGGAUUACAGAUUCCAAGUGCAGUGUUACUCUUACACAGUCUGAAUCCCAGGAGGUGGUGUCUUCUGGAUCAAUCACUCUGUCUUGCCAGGCUGCAGGAUUUGAUGUGAAUAGCUACUGGAUGGUCUGGAUUCGUCAGACUCCUGGGAAAGCCCUGGAAUGGCUCGCCAGUGUAGGUGCUGCUACAAGUGCACAAUAUCACUCUGACACUAUCAAAAACCGAUUCAAGGCAUCUAAAGACUAUUCAAAACACAUUUUCUUUCUACAAAUGAAUAACCUGAGGACGGAGGACACAGCAGUGUAUUACUGUGCAACAGAAACACAGCAAAUAAAACUCAUUGAAAGCUUGUACAAAAACAUCCUGCAGUGCCAGGUGUAA